rnacentral:rRNA from 1 species
GAGUUCGAUCAUGGCUCAGAUUGAACGCUGGCGGGAUUUACAUGCAAGUCAGGCGGCAGCACGGACUUCGGUCUGGUGGCGAGUGGCAAGUAGGUGAGUAAUGUAUCGGAACGUGCCUAGUAGCGGGGGAUAACUACGCAAGCGUAGCUAAUACCACAUGCAUGUCGGGGAAAGCAGGGGACCUUCGGGCCUCGCACUAUUAGGAAGCGGCCGAUAUCGGAUUAGCAGCUAGUUGGUGGGGGUAACGGCUCGCGGGCGACGAUCGUAGCUGGUUUGAAGGACGACCAUCCACACUGGGACUGGACGUGGGCUCACGGGAGGCGGCAGUGGGAAUUUUGGACGAUGGAAACCUGAUCCAGCCGUCGGCGUGUGCGAUGAAGGCCUUCGGGUUGUAAAGCACCUGGCGGAAAGAAACGUGGCAGGAUAAUACCCCGUGCAACUGACGGUACCUGCAGAAUAAGCACCGGCUAACUACGUGCCAGCAGCCGCGGUAAUACGUAGGGUGCAAGCGUUAAUCGGAAUUACUGGGCGUAAAGCGUGCGCAGGCGGUUCGGAAAGAAGAUGUGAAAUCCCAGAGCUUAACUUUGGAACUGCAUUUUUAACUACCGAGCUAGAGAGAGUGUGUCAGAGGGAGGUGGAAUUCCGCGUGUAGCAGUGAAAUGCGUAGAUAUGCGGAGGAACACCGAUGCUUGAAGGCAACCUCUAGGAUAACUGACGCUCAUGCACGAAAAGCAUUAAGGGCAAACAGGAUUAGAUACCCUAGUAGUCCACGCCUAAACGAUGUCAACUAGCUGUUGGGGCCUUCCCAGGUCUUAGUAGCGCAACUAACGCGUGAAGUUGACCGCCUAAGAGUACGGUCGCAAGAUUAAAACUCAAAGGAAUUUGACGGGGACCCGCACAAGCGGUGGAUGAUGUGGAUUAAUUCGAUGCAACAUAAAACUACCUACCCCUUGACAUGUCUGGAAUCGAAGGGUUGGGGAGUGCUCGCAGAGAACCGGAACCUGGGUGCUGCAUGGCUGUCGUCAGCUCGUGUCGUGAGAUGUUGGGUUAAGUCCCGCAACAGGCGCAACCCUUGUCAUUAGUUGCUACGAAAGGGCACUCUAAUGAGACUGCCGGUGACAAACCGGAGGAAGGUGGGGAUCGACGUCAAAAGUCCUCAUCAGCCCAUAUGGUGAACUUCACACACGUCAUACAAUGGUCGGGACAGAGGGUCGCCAACCCGCGAGGAGCCAAUCGAAACCCGAUCGUAGUCCGGAUCGCAGUCUGCAACUCGACUGCGUGAAGUCGGAAUCGCUAAUAAUCGCGGAUCAGCAUGUCGCGGUGAAUACGUUCCCGGGUCUUGUACACGCCGCCCGUCACACCAUGGGAGUGGGUUUUAUAAGUAGUUAGCCUAGCCGUAAGGAGGGCGAUUACCACGGUAAGGAUUCAUGACUGGGGUGAAGUCGUAACAAGGUAA